rnacentral:rRNA from 1 species
AGAGUUUGAUCCUGGCUCAGGAUGAACGCUGGCGGCGUGCUUAACACAUGCAAGUCGAACGGAGUUUUUAAACGGAAGUUUUCGGAUGGAAGUUUAAAAACUUAGUGGCGGACGGGUGAGUAACGCGUGGGUAACCUGCCUCAUACAGGGGGAUAACAGUUAGAAAUGACUGCUAACACCGCAUAAUAUAGCGAAACCGCAUGAUUUUUGCUAUCAAAUAUUUAUAGGUAUGAGAUGGGCCCGCGUCUGAUUAGCUAGUUGGUGGGGUAAAAGCCUACCAAGGCGACGAUCAGUAGCCGGCUUGAGAGAGUGACCGGCCACAUUGGGACUGAGACACGGCCCAAACUCCUACGGGAGGCAGCAGUGGGGAAUAUUGGACAAUGGGGGAAACCCUGAUCCAGCGACGCCGCCGUGAGUGAAGAAGUAUUUCGGUAUGCAAAGCUCUAUCAGCAGGGAAGAUAAUGACAGUACCUGACUAAGAAGCCCCGGCUAACUACGUGCCAGCAGCUGC